rnacentral:rRNA from 1 species
GACGAACGCUGGCGGCGUGCUUAACACAUGCAAGCCGAGCGGUAAGGCCCUUUCGGGGGUACACGAGCGGCGAACGGGUGAGUAACACGUGGGUGACCUGCCCUCAGCUCUGGGAUAAGCCUGGGAAACCGGGUCUAAUACUGGAUAUGACUCCAUGACGCAUGUUGUGGGGUGGAAAGCCUUGUGCGGCUGAGGAUGGGCCCGCGGCCUAUCAGCUUGUUGGUGGGGUGANGGCCUACCAAGGCGACGACGGGUAGCCGGCCUGAGAGGGCGACCGGCCACACUGGGACUGAGACACGGCCCAGACUCCUACGGGAGGCAGCAGUGGGGAAUCUUGCGCAAUGGGCGAAAGCCUGACGCAGCGACGCCGCGUGAGGGAUGACGGCC